rnacentral:SRP_RNA from 1 species
GCCAGCAUGGUGGCGCGUGCCUGCAGUCCCAGCUACUCGGGAGGCUGAGGCUGGAGGAUCGCUUGAGCCCAGGAGUUCUGGGCUGUAGUGCGCUAUGCAGCUUGGGUGUCUGCACUAAGUUUGGCAUCAAUAUGGUGACCUCCCGGGAGCGGGGGCCCACCAGGUUGCCUAAGGAGGGGUGAACCGGCCCAGAUCGGAAAUGGAGCAGGUCAAAACUCCCGUGCUAAUCAGUAGUGGGAUUGCGCCUGUCAGUAGCCACUGCACUCCAGCCUGGGCAACAUAGCGAGACCCCGUCUCU